rnacentral:rRNA from 1 species
AUGGCAUCCCCUGCCGAUAGACACGUCAUCACAGCCGCACUAUUCAGGGCGCCAAUCGGGAUCGAGCUUUGCAGGUCAAGUCGUCUGCUCGGAUCGGAAACGUAUUGCCCAGCGUUCUUUUCUCCCCGUACACGUCUUCUCCUCCUUUCUUCUCUCUCUCGUUUUUCCUCCCCAAUUGGGUUGCCGCCGCCGCCGCCGCCCGCCAACGGCGGCAGGCUGGAUUUGGACGCCGUGUUCGGGGCGGAUGGGUUCAUCUCCUCCCCCCGCUACGAGAAGCUCAUGGCCGAGACCCCGUACUCCGUCCUCGACGUUGACCACCUCGUCGACCCACCCCCGCCCAACUUCGCCUCCCGUCUGGAGGGCCUCAUCAAAUUGUCCGAUCUGGUUCAUGUAAGAGAUCUUGUUACUGUUAGCUUUGCAAGAAGUGGGGGUGCGGGUGGUCAGAAUGUUAAUAAAGUAAAUACAAAGGUUGACAUGCGGUUCAAUGUUGAGAAAGCUCAUUGGCUUGGGGAGAGGAUUAAGGAACGGAUAUUCCAAAUGGGGGAUGUGAUGGCGAUGACUGAUAUGGUUGCCGGCAGUUAA